rnacentral:rRNA from 1 species
UACGUAGGGUGCGAGCGUUAAUCGGAUUUACUGGGCGUAAAGAGCGCGCAGGCGGUCGUGCAAGUCGCGUGUGAAAGCCCCCGGCUCAACUGGGGAGGGUCACGCGAUACUGAUCGACUCGAAGGCAGGAGAGGGUAGUGGAAUUCCCGGUGUAGUGGUGAAAUGCGUAGAUAUCGAGAGGAACACCUGCGGCGAAGGCGGGUUGCUGGGCUGACACUGACGCUGAUGCGCGAAAGCUAGGGGAGCGAACGGG